AUGGGUAUCUCUGCCCCAUCUUCUUUUCUGUCCUUGUCUACUUUGUGGAAAGAGAAAAAGAAAUAUGAAGCUAUCAAUAUUGCCACAUCUGCUACCUUGUGGGGCUUAUGGCUUCUGCGCAAUGAAGUUGUGUUUCAGGGGCGAAAAUGGCGAAGCAUUCGCUGCAUCAUGGACCUGGUGGGUGGACUGAUGAGACAAUGGAAGAUCUUGUGCUCCAACGCCCAGGGUGCGCUGCUUCUCCGAUGCUUAAGGCUUUUGGAUCGGCGAAGAGGGGAAUUGCUUAGAAUAGCUUGGGAGAUGUGA
rnacentral:rRNA from 1 species